UACGUAGGGGGCGAGCGUUGUCCGGAAUCAUUGGGCGUAAAGCGCGUGUAGGCGGCUCGGCAAGUCUGGUGUGAAAACUGGAGGCUCAACCUCCAGCUGUCGCUGGAUACUGCCGGGCUUGAGUCCGGAAGAGGAGAGUGGAAUUCCUGGUGUAGCGGUGAAAUGCGCAGAUAUCAGGAAGAACACCAAUGGCGAAAGCAGCUCUCUGGGACGGUACUGACGCUGAGACGCGAAAGCGUGGGGAGCGAACAGG
rnacentral:rRNA from 1 species